AGCAAAUGGUUCUUUCCCCUCCAUGUAUUUUUAUUUUUGAGUGUCAGAUGUGGAAAACCCAACAGGAUGAUCACUCAGCAUGUACCUUGUGUCUGCUGCCUGCUGGGAAGUCACAGCAGAAAUGACAAAUGAGAGAGGGAGGAAUUCAGAAAACACCAAAUGGCUCAAAAGGCAGCGGGGCAAAGCAAGUCCAACCCUUGCUGUGGUUUUGCUGGUCUUGAUAGAGCUGCAAAACCAAGAGACAAAUACUCAGAUGUUCCACUGGUUUGUCAGCAGGCAAUUGGUAAAAAUCUUUUAGCACUUUUCCUUGAAGAAUGAUGAUUUUUCUUUUUCUUGCCACAGAACUCCUGUGGGCACGACGAGGCGUUCCCAAAGAGCCCUGAUGAUCUCAUCCUGGGAAACCUUCAUCCCAGCAGUGCUCCCUGGAUGAUUCUCCAGUUUUGGACUGCUGGAUGAUUCUCCCUUUGCUCUGGCAUCCACCAGGAUGCCUUGGUUUGCAAAGACAGGUGUCUGCUAAAGAGGGGAGAUGGGGCAGUCGGAAUUCCAGGUGCUCCAGGUUUCUCUUGAACGAGAUCUCCAGGAUAACUUGUGCCGAUGGUGAAAUGUGGUGCCAGGUCACGUUGGCUGGGCCCCGAUGCAGCGUGGAAUUUGUUUUUCCCAUCAUGUGAGAGGGAGGAAACGUCCCGUCCAAGGAGGGCGAUGUCAGCUCGGACGCAAACGCGCUCGGCACGGAGGCACGAGGAGAGGGCUCGGCAACUUGAGAGCUUUCUGCACUGCCUCGUGCACAAAACCCUCUUGGAAGGACUCACAACAAACUGAGAGCUCACUGGAAACAUCUCCCUUGUUUGUUUUGGCUGCCAGAGCUUUUCUAAGUGCAAUUACCAGCAGUUGAGAAAUGGAGAGGGUGAAAGAAUCCUUGUGGUUCGUGCUCAGGAGACCUGGGUUGAUUUCUAACCUCUGUCACGGUGUCACAGCAGGAAAAAGAGAUUUAAUUCAUCUGCAGGUCGAUUUGUACAAACAGGGAUGGGGCUGCCCUGCAGCAGCAGCUCCUGGUACUGAGGUGAACCCUCAUGUCCUGCUGAUUUCAUGGAAUUCAGGCAGAUAUAUAUAUAAUUAUAUACCCAUUUUUAAAAGUUUCUGGGGCUCAUAUAUCAAUAUAUAACCCUCUCUUAACAGCACCACACUGCCUCAGAGGGGGAAAAUCCCCCAUUCCUGCACACAGCUGCACAUCCCUUUAAGCCAGAGGACAGGAAUGGAUUUGUGCCCUGCAAGGACCAACAUCUUCAUUAAGAUCCCUGUUUGCUGGGCAGUGACAAAUCUUUCCCUCAGAACACGAUGAUUAAGGUUUAAUUUUAUUCCGGAUUAUGGGCAGCUCCACUUGCAAAGCAGCGCUGGGCCAAGGUUGGGCACAUAUUGCCUGGAAAUGAACGUUCCUCCCCAAAGUGCUUAAGCAGCUUUGGAUAAGAAAAGAUGGUUUGGGGAAGAUUAGGAGCCUAAGAAAGAUCUCCAGGCUAAGAGGAAAGUGCCGUUGUGGGUUCAGGAAGAAAUGCUGAGGGUCUGAGGCUUCCAAAUUGCUUGGGAGAGUUGGAGGAAGAUGGUGGGAAAAGGAUAGAUUAGUGAAGGUGUUGGAUUUACAGAUGGGUGAAGACAGCCAUAAAUUAUAUGGGGAUGAGGUGGGGGUGUGUGUUUGUAAAUCAUCAGCAGGGAAAUUUCCAGGCUUCAGUUUGCUUAGAGAACCAAAUCUGCAUUUCUGGAGGUUUUAUGAUGUGGAACAUCACUUGAGAUGAAGUUUAGAUGUCAGCUUAAACACAGUGGGGAAUAAAAUCUGUCCUGCCCAGCACAAGAACUGAGUUUGGAAUAUGGACAGAGGGCUGCAGGAGAAGCAGAGGGAAAGGAGGAGAAGUCUCCUGGGGCUGGGAUACAAAUGUUUGUCCUGAUAUGCAGUUCCCUGCUCCUGCAGAUCCUCUCCCCUCUGCUUUUCCUCACAGGUACAGGUUUAUUCUGCCAGAGAAUGGUAUUUAAAUCCAAGCAGUGAUGAUUAUUUGUUCUCAAACACAUAUGUUCUUCCCUCCCCUGAGAGCAGGGGGAGGAGGACAGCGAUGAGAGCCGGCGAAUGUUUCACCCUCGCUGCAGUGACAGCUUUGAUUUGUGAAACAGCUUGGAAUAAAAUGCUGGUAAUUUUUCAUGGAAAAACCAAAGGACAUAAUUUGUGUGUGUCUCAAAGAGAGCAGCAGAGAUCUGAAAUGCCUGGACACACCAUUGUGUGAGUGCCAAAAUCCUGGAUGGAUAUAAAACUCAGUGUUUUCAACCCAGAGAAAUAACAUUACAAUCAUCCCUGGUUAAGCAGAUUCUGCUUGUUUAUUGUUUUCCAGUAUCUGCAGCUCUGCUCAUCAAUUUUUCACAUUAUUCCUUGGCUGUUCCCUCAUGUUCUGUCUCUUUGCUGGUUUGAUGUUUUGCUCUCUGGAGAUUUCUUCCAUAAAUUUUUAUUAUUUCCUCUGAGAAAUCUUUUUUUAUGAUUCCCAGUAAGAGCUGGGACUGUGAUAUGGUGGAGGGAGAGAAGAAAGCUGGGCAGUGGAAACUCCUUUAACUUAAUGCCAUGGAAAAACCCCUCUGGCUCCCUGUCAGCCAAAGAAGGUCAAAGGCAGUCCGAGCUGCAGCCAUGCCAAUGGAUCCUAAAUCCAGUAUUUAAUAUCGAUCUCCAGCUUCAUAAACACCACCCUGACAGUGCUGACAGCAGCCCUGACAUCAGCAUGAUGACACAGGGCACAAAAAUGACUUCACACUGCCAGCUCUGCUCCCAGCCAGCAUGGGAACAACGCUGGGAAAGAGCUUUUGUUUAAUUAGUUAUUGGUAAUGAGGUCUGGUUAAAGGGUGAGGUGGGACUGAGGGAGCAAAGCUGGGCUGGCUCAGUGCUUGGGCCAGGGGAUGUUUGACAGUGCUGGUGCAGGGGGUCAAAGCAGGGGUUUAAAGAAGAUUUUGGGCUCACCUUGGCUGUGGGAAGAGGUUUUCCAGGCACUUCCGACGCCAGCCCAUCACUCAGGUGGUUGGAGAUGGAGCUGGAGCUGAUCUUCAGCUUUGGAAGAGGAUUUUGGAGAUUCAUCUUCAGUUUUCAAAGAGAUUUCUUGAGAUUUAUUUUCAGCUUUGAGGGAGAAUUUUGGAAGUCUCUGUGAUUUUGGAAAUCUCUGUGAUCUGGAUGAGCCCUACCCUACCCAGGGGAACAGGAAGGUUCCCAAGGAGCAGAGUCAGAACCUUGGUGCUGCAAUCACAUGGAAAUCAUAUGGAAAUCACAGACUUAGACAUUCCCAAAAUUGCUGGACACAUCACCACCAGCCCAUCACUCCAGUGAUAAACCAAAAUCUCCAGCUCUGGAGCUGAUCUUCAGCUUUUGGGGAGGUUUUCGGAGAUUCUUUUUCAGUUUUAGAGAACAUUUACAGAGAUUUAGCUUCAGCUUUGCAGAACAUUUUGGAAAUCCACCUGUGAUCUGGCUGAACCCAACCCUACACUGGGGAACAGGAGGGUUCCCAAGGAGCAGAGCUGGGGCUGAAAUCACAUGGAAAGCCAGACUUAGACAUUCCCAAAAUUGCUGGGCACAUCCCUCUGAAGAAUGAUGGACGUGGGGUGUGCUGCCAUCACUGCCCUGCCAGUGCCAAGCCCGUGGAUGUCCUUUCUGAAUUUGAUUAAAAUCUAGAACCACCACCAUCAUUAAAUCAUCCAAAGCUCAACAGAAAUAUUUAGGGAAAGGGAAUGUUCCAAGAGACCUCAAUGGGAUUCAGGGAAAUGGUUCUGAGCUGACAAGAAUUCACAGGGUAACUCCUUUUUUCAUAAAAUGAAGAGAGCAGGGAGAGAACCAUUCAAACUUGACCAAAUUAAUUUUUACCUACCCCAGUGAUCCCCACCUUCACUCCAUCCAUGAAAAUCUGUGCCCACAGAAUGAAAAUAAAGCCAAUCCAAUGGGAGCAGCAUGAGCCAGCAUUUGGGAUUGUGUAAAUAGAGCACUGAGGUGGCAUCACUGGGGCAGCAGGGAUUUAUACCAGCUGAGGAUCUGGCCCAUGAAGUGGGAAUAACUCUUUCUGCCCUGUGAUUUAUGCUCUCCAGUUAUUGACUGCUCCAAAAUAAGCCUCUGUUAUAAACAAUCCGGGCAGCAAAGAAGGCAAUUGUGCCUUAAUGAGCCCAUGGUUCAAAGCACUGCCCUGCUGCAUUGACCCUUCUAUAGAUCAGAAAGUCUCCUUGAUUUAAUUACCUCACAGAACCCCAGACUAGACAGCUCCAAACCUCAUUUAUGCCCUGAUCUUGCUAUUUUUUUUUAUUUUGGUGCACUCUAUAGUGAUUUACAAUUCAGCCAAGGGACUCUUCAGGCGGCCGAGGAGAAUUGUUUAGAGGGGUUUGUGUGCAAUUAC